AUGGCUGCACCUCGGCUGCACCUCGGCUGCGAGCCAGGGCCCGCCCAUGGGACUUGGGGCUGCGUGGGCGUGGGGUGCAGGCCCUUCCUUUGGGCCGGCAUCAGCGGCCUUGGCUCCCGGCCGUCAGGAGCAGGGGGGCAUCCUGGCCAUCCUCCCUCCGCCCGCCUCGGCCUUGCGGGGGCCUGGGGCCGCCUGUCCCCCGGCCCGUCCUCGCAGGCUGAUGAGCAGGAGCCCCGUGUCCCGUGUGUGACCCCAUGUCCAGUUUCCACCUCGGUGGCUCCUGUCGCCGCAGCUGGAGCCAUCAGCGCCCGGCCUCUCCCAGCGUGGUCACCACGGGGCAGGAUGUCCCAGGCUCAGGGUGACAGGGCUGAGCGUGCAGCCGGGGGCAGAGGGCCCGACCCCCAGGAGGCCAGCCGCUCCGGGCCACAGCCAUCCCGGGGGCAGGGGUUCCAGCCCCUCCCCGCAGAUGGAAGGUCAGGGGGUACAUGGGGUUCGGGGGACUUGCCGGGGGUCAGACGCAGCAGGGGCGCGCCAGGGCUGGGACCAGCGGGCGCGUGGGGCACACGGGACACGGCCCGGGUGGGUGGGUGGAGGCCCGGCGGCCUGCUGACCCAGCGGCGCCCCCUUGCUGAGCCCCGCACCCCGGCUCCCCACAGGCCGCGGAGACCCAGCCACCGACGCUCAGCACCGCCCCGGACUCCUCUGGGGGAGAACCAGGGUGGGGAGGAGAGCCCUGGGGGAAGAUGCCGCGCGGCUGCACCCGCUCUCCGCCUCAGUUUCCCAGCUGGAGAUGCUGCCCCAGGCAGAGCUCCGCUUCUGAAGGCUGGUUUCUUAGGGACUGUCGCCCCCACUGUGGAGGGAACGGCCGAGCACCCAGGGCCGCGGGCCACUCAUGCCGGGGACAACCGUGCGGGGAGGUCGCCAGCCCUCAGGGGCAGAGUCACAGUCAGGGUCAGGAGCUGCCCGGAUGGGAGCCGCUCGGCCGCCUGGGGCCGGGCAGGGCCUGAAGUGCAGGAGGCAGAGUGA
rnacentral:lncRNA from 1 species